GCUCAGUUGGUAGAGCGGAGGACUG
rnacentral:piRNA from 3 species